rnacentral:rRNA from 1 species
GAGCGUCUAGCUUACCAUGCAGUCGAGGGGAACGGCAUUUAGUGCUUGCACCGAAUGGACGUCGACCGGCGCACGGGUGAGUAACGCGUAUCCAACCUUCCCAUAACUAAGGAAUAACCUGCCGAAAGGCAGACUAAUACCUUAUGUAAUCCUUUGAUGGCAUCAGAUAAGGAUAAAAGAUUUAUCGGUUAUGGAUGGGGAUGCGUCUGAUUAGCUUGUUGGCGGGGUAACGGCCCACCAAGGCAACGAUCAGUAGGGGUUCUGAGAGGAAGGUCCCCCACAUUGGAACUGAGACACGGUCCAAACUCCUACGGGAGGCAGCAGUGAGGAAUAUUGGUCAAUGGACGGAAGUCUGAACCAGCCAAGUAGCGUGCAGGAUGACGGCCCUAUGGGUUGUAAACUGCUUUUGUAUGGGGAUAAAGUCAAUCACGUGUGAUUGUUUGCAGGUACCAUACGAAUAAGGACCGGCUAAUUCCGUGCCAGCAGCCGCGGUAAUACGGAAGGUCCGGGCGUUAUCCGGAUUUAUUGGGUUUAAAGGGAGCGUAGGCCGGAGAUUAAGUGUGUUGUGAAAUGUAGACGCUCAACGUCUGACUUGCAGCGCAUACUGGUUUCCUUGAGUACGCACAACGUUGGCGGAAUUCGUCGUGUAGCGGUGAAAUGCUUAGAUAUGACGAAGAACUCCGAUUGCGAAGGCAGCUGACGGGAGCGCAACUGACGCUUAAGCUCGAAGGUGCGGGUAUCGAACAGGAUUAGAUACCCUGGUAGUCCGCACAGUAAACGAUGGAUGCCCGCUGUUGGUACCUGGUAUCAGCGGCUAAGCGAAAGCAUUAAGCAUCCCACCUGGGGAGUACGCCGGCAACGGUGAAACUCAAAGGAAUUGACGGA